AUCAGUUCAUUUGACGUUUGUUUAGUGUUACAAAAUUCAGUUCUCAUUAUCAAGUCAUUCAUUACCAUUCAACUCUGCUUCGUCGGUGAUGUUAAAUCAUUUCAUUGCUUCAAUAAAGCGGAUCUGCCAACGAAUUUGUCACGAGCUUAUGACUGCUGUUAGAAUGAUCACAUUUGUUCCGUUGACUUAUCAAGGUCUGGUAUGUUUGCCGCAUCACGAACUCACGUUAAAUUUGCGGACUACAGUAACUGCUUAACGCCAGGGGUCGUCCAGCUUUUAGAACCAAUUAAAAACUAGCAAUAAAAUUAUCGAAGGUUUAUAGAUUAGAUACAAAAAAAAUAUUAAUUUGGAACGAGAAGGUUAAAUUUUAAUUCAGUGGACAGUACUUUAAAACUACUACGUACUUUUAGCGAGAUUAAAAACUUAAAGUAAAAAAAUAUUAUUAAAGCGCGGCCACACUCUGUUGUAAGUCUAAAUAUAGAAAGUGAGAUUUUUAUUAAUUUGUAAAAUUAAUCGCACUCUACCUAUUGUGCGUUAUUAAUUGAUUCUCUUAUCGAUUGGCUGUUGUUAUAUCUUUACUGUACCUUGUAAGUAACAAAUUGAUGUAAUUUUUUUGUGAUUAAAUUUCUAAGUUAUAGCCCACGAGUAUAUUACCACUACCAUAGUGGCGUUUCCAUUUUUAGUAGCAGCCAAAGCCCGCGCAGUGACUCAUGGCCCAUGAUCAAGGCUUUCUCACUUGCCUUACAAAAUUAUCAUGGAUUCACUAAACUUUGUUAACUACAUAGCAAUGACAACUGUACUUCUGGCCCACGCUUGUCCCACGCGUCAUUUACAAGUUUGAUGUAUAAAAUUUCAGCAUAUAGCAUUUCUUAAUCGUAAACGUAUUGCUUUAGUAUUGCUUUGAUCGUAUACAAUACUUGCUUGUGUUUAUGAACAAUUGAAAUAAAAGCUAAUCGGCUCUGCACACUGAAAGCGCUUGAAAACCUGUAUUACAUAAUUUUAAGUACACAACUUCAAGUUUCUACGCAUUACGUUUCAAAAAUAUUCAUCAGCUUAAAAAAAAUAUUUCGGCUUCGAGAGCCUUAUAUUAAAACGAAAAAUUAGUUUAAGCUACGUCCGCAAUUUAAAUUGUUUUUACUCUUUAAUCUCACAUUUGUUAGUAUUCUCAUUUUUUUAUUUUCCCGUUUAACAAUUUAGUGAUCAUGACCGACUUGGGUACAAAAUUAAAAAUUUUAUGCUUUUAAUUAAUUGUAUUUAAAAUAAUAAAAAAUUCAAAAUAUUAAACGGACACGAUUCCAAAACAGGAUGUUAA